CCCAAGUGCUGGGAUUAAAGGCGUGUGCCCCACCGCCCGGCUCCACCUUGGUAUAUCUUAAGGGUGCAUAAAACCUUGAAUUAAAAUGUCCAGGGUCAAAGGUAACCACCUUGAAUAUACUGUGAAGAGGAUCUGAGGGUUUAUAAAAACAUACAAAGACGGUUAAUUUUGACAUGCAAUUUUCUACGCAGGGUGUGUUCUGAACAGUGUCACCAUGACUGUGACCCACAUAGUGUUUCUUAACAGCAGGUGAAGUCUGGUGGAAGCCAGAUAGUUGUGGCUAGCCUGGCUCUGGAUGAAGGGAACUGACUGUGAGAAUGGUGAAGACAAGAGGCAGAUGGAGUGUCACACAUGUUGCUGAUAACACCAUCAAAAUUAAGCAGUUGCAAGAGAUGGCAAUAUAAAUGGCAACUGGACAGAUGGUUGUUCUGAAAUCUGGCAUUCAAAGGUCUGUGUGGCUGUGUACAUGAGUGCAGGUACCCAUGGAGACCAGAAAAGGACAGUUCUCUGGAGAAGGAGUUACAGGCAGUUGGGAACUGCCUGACACAGGUGUUGGGAACCAGACUUUGACAUCUAGAAGAUCAGUAUUUGUUCUUAAUAACUGAAGUGUCUCUCCAACCUCCUACUCAUUAAACCCCAACACAUAAUAGCUACUGUGCUCAGUUAUUGCAUGUUUCUGCUUACUUCUUCCUACAGUAGCCCAGUGAAUGGGGAGACACUUAUCUAUCCCAGUUACGGAUGAGAAACCUGAGAGCCAGGGUAUGUCACCAUCUCCACAGUCCUGACUGGAGAGCACAGUCUCAUGAGAAGCGUGCCUAGGGCAGUGCCUAUGCACUAGAACAGCAUCAUCAAUGCUUCUACUGUGUAGACUGGGUCAUGCUGCUGGAGAAGUGAAUCGAUCAUGCUUGUCUGCGCUUACAUCCUGCACUCUACCUGUGUAAUAAUGGCUGAGCCAACAGAUCCAGACUGAGCUCCAUAAGCGGUGGCCUGUCACUUCAAAGAUCUGAAUGACUUCCUUAACCCGGUCUAUCCAGUGAUGGGAACAGGGAACAUAUUAACUCCUGCAUGGCCUAAAAAAAGAAAUAUGUGGUUUACAUUUGUACACAAAGGUGCAAAUUUGAGUAUUUGUCCAUAAUUGUUAUCUUGUAUAAUAUGAUUGUAUAUUAUUGCAUGUUAUGUUAUUGUCUAUUAUUUUAUAAUAAACCAUUAUACACCA